UACGUAGGGGGCUAGCGUUGUCCGGAAUCAUUGGGCGUAAAGAGCGUGUAGGCGGCUCGGUAAGUCCGCUGUGAAAGUCCAGGGCUCAACCCUGGAAUGCCGGUGGAAACUGUCGAGCUAGAGUCCGGAAGAGGCGAGUGGAAUUCCCAGUGUAGAGGUGAAAUUCGUAGAUAUUGGGAAGAACACCAGUGGCGAAGGCGGCUCACUGGCUCGUAACUGACGCUCAGGCGCGACAGCGUGGGGAGCAAACAGG
rnacentral:rRNA from 1 species